rnacentral:tRNA from 1 species
GGGAAUGUGGCUUAGUGGUAGAGUGCUUGUUUAGCAUACAUGAAGUCCUGGGUUUGAUUCCUCAGUACCA